UACGGAGGGUGCGAGCGUUGUCCGGAAUCACUGGGCGUAAAGGGCGCGUAGGUGGCCGAGCAAGGUCGCGGUGAAAGCCCGGGGCUCAACCCCGGGUCGGCCGUGGCAACUGUCGAGCUGGAGCACUGUAGAGGCAGGUGGAAUUCCGGGUGUAGCGGUGGAAUGCGUAGAGAUCCGGAAGAACACCGGUGGCGAAGGCGGCCUGCUGGGCAGUGGCUGACGCUGAGGCGCGAAAGCCAGGGGAGCAAACGGG
rnacentral:rRNA from 1 species